rnacentral:rRNA from 1 species
AGCAGUCGCCGCGGGAAUACAGAGGGUGCGAGCGUUAAUCGGAUUUACUGGGCGUAAAGCGUGCGUAGGCGGCUUCUUAAGUCGGAUGUGAAAUCCCUGAGCUUAACUUAGGAAUUGCAUUCGAUACUGGGAAGCUAUAGUAUGGGAGAGGAUGGUAGAAUUCCAGGUGUAGCGGUGAAAUGCGUAGAGAUCUGGAGGAAUACCGAUGGCGAAGGCAGCCAUCUGGCCUAAUACUGACGCUGAGGUACGAAAGCAUGGGGAGCAAACAGGAUUAGAUACCCCCGUAGUCCCUGUCUCUUAUAA